AACGAACGCUGGCGGCAUGCCUAACACAUGCAAGUCGAACGAGGCCUGCGGGUCUAGUUGCGCACGGGUUCGUAACGCGUGGGAACCUUCCCUUAUGGUCGGAAUAACUCCCCGAAAGGGGUGCUAAUACCGGAUAAUUGCUUCUGACGAAUAAUUUAUCUCCCUAGGAGGGGCCCGCUUUGGAUUAGCUAUUUGGUAGCGUAAAAGCCUACCAAGGCUACGAUGCAUAGCUGGUCUGAGAGGAUGAUCAGCCACACUGGGACUGAGACACGGCCCAGACUCCUGCGGGAGGAAGAAGGUGGGAAUGUGCGACGCUGGGCGAAAGCAUGAUGUAGCAAGGCCGCGUGAGUGAUGAAGGAGUUAGGGUUGUAAAGCUCUUUUAACCGCGCUGAUAAUGACAGUACCGGGCGAAUAAGCGACGGCUAACUACGUG
rnacentral:rRNA from 1 species